UACGUAGGCAGCAAGCGUUGUUCGGAAUUACUGGGCGUAAAGCGUGCGCAGGCGGCGCGUUAAGACAGGUGUGAAAGCCCCGAGCUUAACUUGGGAAUUGCGCUUGUGACUGGCGAGCUGGAGUGUGGCAGAGGGAGGUGGAAUUCCACGUGUAGCAGUGAAAUGCGUAGAGAUGUGGAGGAACACCGAUGGCGAAGGCAGCCUCCUGGGCCAGCACUGACGCUCAUGCACGAAAGCGUGGGGAGCAAACAGG
rnacentral:rRNA from 1 species